rnacentral:lncRNA from 1 species
GAGAAUCAUGUAUAAUGGUGACGUCGUUAUUCUCAAGGUUGCUUCUAUGGAUAACACAUAUAGAUAUCCACUGCCUAGGCCUACUAUUCAGCCAUUUAUGAAAUGACUACAAAAGAGGUAUCAUCAAGAUGACCAAGUUGAUUGGCUCUAGUGCAAGUGGGAGAUUGUUGGAAAUGUGCCCUAAAGCCAAUCAUGUGAUGAUACUUUAC